rnacentral:misc_RNA from 1 species
AGAUUAUUGAGAUAAGGUUAUGAUCAAGAUGUGCCUUCAUGCCAUUAUUGCUUUCCUCGUCCAAAGGGAUACCAUAUUCUGACAUUCGAGUUCCAUAGGUUGUUGAAUCAAUAUAAGAAUUAUAGUGUUUUUCUAUACCCAAACCAAGAAAUAACAUCCGCACUAUAAUUUGUUCCAAGUCUUUUAUAUGCCUGCUGUAGGUGGAGACCGUAU